AAAUAAGUAUGUUUAAACUAAAAGAGAGGGACGAAAGAUACCAAAGGGACAGUCAAACUCAUAAAUCUAAAACAAACUGACAUGGCUAAAAAUGAAAAAGACAAACAAACAACAGCACACAUGGCACAUAUGAAAGUAUGAAAGAUAAAAGAUAAACUGUCUAUAAAAUUAUUAAAAGAACCAUUCAAUUCUUUAAAGUACUGUGAUAUUGUACAAACAUGCUACAUGAUACAAACAUGACAAUACUACCUUUUCUUAUAUGUUGUAAUGCAAUGGGAUAAGGGCGGAUGACGUUGAGCAUCAUGGGAGUGGAUCUGAAUGGAGUUUACAAAAUAGGGGAUAAUGUACUCCAUACUACAGAAUUUGAACCAAAAAAGAAAGAAUUAAGCGAACAUUAGGCCCCCAAAAAAGAAGAAUAGCAAAAAUUAGCCAGGAAAAGAAAGAAUAGAAAAUAAUAGUGUUGAAAGAUGAAGAAUCGAGAGUGAUGGGC
rnacentral:lncRNA from 1 species